AAUAAUCAAACACACAACUUAAUCUACGUUAAUUAUCCAAAAUGCUGAUUCCCCUUUAAACAUUUCAGACUGAUGACAUGAGGGGCUGCUAGCUGUUCCACUGUGUUGAGUAGUGAUUCUGCUCCUUAACUGCAAUUGUCCGCCUUGAAUGUUUCACAGCUGAGAAGAGGGAGGCAUGGAGAGUCUGGAUCACUAAAGCCAAACUGCCAGGCUUGCAAGAGGCAGAGCCAGGAGGAGACCCAGGCAGCCUGACUCCAGAAGCUAUGUUCCUAACCAAAGUCACACUGGGCAACACUGUACUUGACCACCUUAUUCUCUACAUUUUCAUCCUCGAGGCAGAAAACAAGCGAAGGCUCUUCCAGGCACACAGCUUGUCCAUGCUCAGCCUCCCUUGCAUUUAUGCUAUAAGCAGACUGGUGUGUGUUAUUGGCAGAUCUUCCCAUAGAGCCGUCCCCUCCAAUAGCUGCCUUAGUGCUGUCCACCUGCCACAUAAGGGAGGAGGCCCUAGAAAUGGCAACAUGGACGAAUGGACAGUCUGGGCACUUCAAAGACUGAAUGGAACCCAGGUCCUUCCAUCUCCACGCCAACCCCAGUCCACAAUGUCUAACCAUCCUGGCCUGUGACCAACGUGAGAAAGAAAUCAUUAUUAUGAUAAGCAGCUGAGAUGUGGGAGUGGGUUACUUUAACUAAUUCAACAGUGUUCGGGUCCUCUACAGCACUGACUGGCAGUUACAAUUUAUUUGUAUGUUAUUCA